CGAGUGGCGAACGGGUGAGUAAUACAUCGGAACGUGUCCGCUCGUGGGGGACAACCAGCCGAAAGGUUGGCUAAUACCGCAUGAGUUCUACGGAAGAAAGAGGGGGACCCGCAAGGGCCUUUCGCGAGCGGAGCGGCCGAUGACUGAUUAGCCGGUUGGUGAGGUAACGGCUCACCAAAGCAACGAUCAGUAGCUGGUCUGAGAGGACGACCAGCCACACUGGGACUGAGACACGGCCCAGACUCCUACGGAAGGCAGCAG
rnacentral:rRNA from 1 species